GAUGAACGCUGGCGGCGUGCCUAAUACAUGCAAGUCGAGCGAACAGACGAGGAGCUUGCUCCUCUGACGUUAGCGGCGGACGGGUGAGUAACACGUGGAUAACCUACCUAUAAGACUGGGAUAACUUCGGGAAACCGGAGCUAAUACCGGAUAAUAUAUUGAACCGCAUGGUUCAAUAGUGAAAGACGGUUUUGCUGUCACUUAUAGAUGGAUCCGCGCCGCAUUAGCUAGUUGGUAAGGUAACGGCUUACCAAGGCAACGAUGCGUAGCCGACCUGAGAGGGUGAUCGGCCACACUGGAACUGAGACACGGUCCAGACUCUUACGGGAGGCAGCAGUAGGGAAUCUUCCGCAAUGGGCGAAAGCCUGACGGAGCAACGCCGCGUGAGUGAUGAAGGUCUUCGGAUCGUAAAACUCUGUUAUUAGGGAAGAACAAAUGUGUAAGUAACUAUGCACGUCUUGACGGUACCUAAUCAGAAAGCCACGGCUAACUACGU
rnacentral:rRNA from 1 species